UCAGUUUUGUGAUCGGAUGGCUGCAUUUGCAGAGUUUGUGCACCUGCUCUCCAGACGCCGUGUCCAGAAACUUGGACUGCAGCUGAUGGCAGAAGGAUAAC